CGCAAGCCUGACGGAGCAAGACCGCGUGGGGGAUGACGGCCUAAUGGUUGUAAACCCCUUUUCUCUGGGAAGAUGAUGACGGUACCAGAGGAAUCAGCCUCGGCUAACUCCGUGCCAGCAGCCGCGGUAAUACGGAGGAGGCAAGCGUUAUCCGGAAUUAUUGGGCGUAAAGCGUCCGUAGGUGGUUAUUCAAGUCUGCUGUCAAAGCGUGGGGCUUAACUCCAUAGAGGCAGUGGAAACUGGAUGACUUGAGUGCGGUAGGGGUCGAGGGAAUUCCCAGUGUAGCGGUGAAAUGCGUAGAUAUUGGGAAGAACACCAGUGGCGAAAGCGCUCGACUGGGCCUGCACUGACACUGAGGGACGAAAGCUAGGGGAGCG
rnacentral:rRNA from 1 species